GAUGAACGCUGGCGGCGUGCCUAAUACAUGCAAGUCGAGCGAAAAGACGAGGAGCUUGCUCCUCUGACGUUAGCGGCGGACGGGUGAGUAACACGUGGAUAACCUACCUAUAAGACUGGGAUACCUUCGGGAAACCGGCGCUAAUACCGGAUAAUAUAUUGAACCGCAUGGUUCAAUAGUGAAAGACGGUUUUGCUGUCACUUAUAGAUGGAUUCGCGCCGCAUUAGCUAGUUGGUAAGGUAACGGCUUACCAAGGCGACGAUGCGUAGCCGACCUGAGAGGGUGAUCGGCCACACUGGAACUGAGACACGGUCCAGACGCCUACGGGAGGCAGCAGUAGGGAAUCUUCCGCAAUAGGCGAAAGCCUGACGGAGCAACGCCGCGUGAGUGAUGAAGGUCUUCGGAUCGUAAAACUCUGUUAUUAGGGAAGAACAAAUGUGUAAGUAACUAUGCACGUCUUGACGGUACCUAAUCAGAAAGCCACGGCUAACUACGUG
rnacentral:rRNA from 1 species